AAUAUGUUGCGGGGGAACUCUUAUGAGUUGAGAAGGUUAAAACCUGACCCUUUGAACCUGUCAGUUAACACUGGCGUAGGGAAGCAAUUCAUUAUACGGA
rnacentral:ncRNA from 2 species